UACGUAGGGUGCGAACGUUGUCCGGAAUUAUUGGGCGUAAAGAGCUCGUAGGCGGUUUGUCGCGUCUGCCGUGAAAGUCCGGGGCUCAACUCCGGAUCUGCGGUGGGUACGGGCAGACUAGAGUGAUGUAGGGGAGACUGGAAUUCCUGGUGUAGCGGUGAAAUGCGCAGAUAUCAGGAGGAACACCGAUGGCGAAGGCAGGUCUCUGGGCAUUAACUGACGCUGAGGAGCGAAAGCAUGGGGAGCGAACAGG
rnacentral:rRNA from 1 species